AGCGGAUUGACCUAGCAUUAUUUAGAAACAGAGAGGAGCUAGAAGGCGAACAAAUUGCAGGGAAAACAGAGGAGGAGAGACAGGAGCGAGUUGCUGCCAGCGCUGCUUCAAUAAGAGCCAUCUCUUCUUCAGAGACGAUCUCAAUUGGGAUCUCGGGAACGCUAGGAUUAGUAGUAGCAACAUCGUUGGCGUCUUGGGAGGGUGACUCCGUCAUUUUUGGAUGAUCGUGGUAUUUUUGUGGAGAAGUGACCGUUAAGAUCGGAG
rnacentral:misc_RNA from 1 species